GAUCCUGGCUCAGAUUGAACGCUGUCGGCAUGGCUAAAACAUAGCAAGUCGAACGAGAACCUCGCAAGAGGGGACAGUGGCGGAAGGGCGAGUAAUGCGAUCGUACGUACCCCGAGGUGGGGGAUAGGUCGGGGAAACUCGGCGUAAUACCCCAUGAUCUCUCCGGAGCAAAGGUUUACCGCCUUGGGAGCGGCGAUCGUCCUAUCAGCUAGUUGGUGAGGUAAUGGCUCACCAAGGCGAAGACGGGUAGCGGGUGUGAGAGCACGACCCGCCGCAUCGGGACUGAGACACUGCCCGGACUCCUACGGGAGGCUGCAGUAACGAAUAUUCCGCAAUGGGCGAAAGCCUGACGGAGCAAUGCCGAGUGCAGGAUGAAGCGGCUUCGCCGUGUAAACUGCUGUCAGGGGUCAGAAACACUGAUCGGCCCCAGAGGAAGAGGCGGCUAACCCUGUGCCAGCAGCCGCGGUAAUACAGGGGCCUCGAGCGUUAAUCGGAAUCACUGGGCUUAAAGGGUGCGCAGGCGGUCCGGAAAGUGUCCCGUGAAAUCCCACGGCUCAACCGUGGAACUGCGGGGCAAACUUCCGGACUUGAGGAAGGUAGAGGCCGUUGGAACGAUAGGUGGAGCGGUGGAAUGCGUAGAGAUCUAUCGGAACGCCGAAGGUGAAGACAGACGGCUGGGCCUUUCCUGACGCUCAGGCACGAAAGCGUGGGGAGCAAACCGGAUUAGAUACCCGGGUAGUCCACGCCCUAAACGAUGCACACUAGACCGGUGCGGCUCUGACGUCGUAUUGGUCGUAGAGAAAUUGAUAAGUGUGCCGCCUGGGGAGUACGGUCGCAAGGCUAAAACUCAAAGGAAUUGACGGGGGCUCACACAAGCGGUGGAGCAUGUUGCUUAAUUCGAAGCAACGCGAAGAACCUUACCUGGGCUUGACAUGCACGGAUUAACCCCUGGAAACAGGGGCCACGCCCGCAAGGGUGGAACGUGCACAAGUGCUGCAUGGCUGUCGUCAGCUCGUGCUGUGAAGUGUCGGGUUAAGUCCCUUAACGAGCGCAAACCCUUGUCGCUAGUUGCCAGCGGGUUAUGCCGGG
rnacentral:rRNA from 1 species